rnacentral:tRNA from 2 species
GCGAGUGUAGCUCAGGGGUAGAGCAUUACCUUGCCAAGGUAAGGGUCGAGGGUUCGAAUCCCUUCACUCGCUCCA